UGAAUCCCAAGAUGAAGCAAAUAAGGGAAUUGUUGAUUGACCUUCCCAGACAGACCUGUAGUAAGUAUGCAGGGAUUUGUACAAUUUUGUAUAAUGUAAUCAUCACAGAAAAUUUUCACUACUAUUUCACAAUUAAUAUUUUUGUGAAUGGAGGAACAAUUAGGAUGGAAAACGUUACUUGUUGAAUGAGAUUAAUCCUCGUGAAAAAUAGAUCGCAUAGUCACGAUUAUUAACCACACAUUUCACUCUGUUUGGAUCAUUCGCAUCUUCGGGCUUUAAAGAUGUGACUGCAGUGGUGAAAACUGCAUCUGAGACCGCCUGUAAAGUUUUCACCACUGCAGUUACAUCUUUAAAGCUUGAAGAUGCGAAUGAUUCAAAAAGAGAGAAAUGUGUGAUCGAUAAUUGUGGUUAUUCGAUCUAUUUUCACGAGGGUUAAUCCCAUUUAACAAGUAACGUUUUUCAUCUUAAUCCAUUCACAAAACAUCUUUUUUAUGAAAUAGUUGUGAUAAUUUUCUGUAAUGAUUACAUUAUGUUAAACUUGAUUAAUCCCUCUGCAUACAUACUAAAGUCUACAGGAAAGGUCAAUCAACAGUUCCCUUAUUUGCUUCAUCUCGGGAUUCGGGUACUAAUAUUAAAUUAUUUUAAUUGGCCACGAUAACAAUCAAAUGCUUAUAGUUUAUUUGUCUGAUACCAUUAUUUGAUUCAUUGUGAGCUGACAGUUUUCUGUCUUACCAUCUACUAGAGCUAUGAUGCAAAGUUUCUAAAGAUAUACUCAGAUCUUCAACCUACCCCAUUGCAACUCGAGGAGGACUUGGAGCAGCUUAAGGUCCUUGAGAACGGCUAUAAGAUAAAGGUACGUUUUUUAUACAAGUCCACUUAAAUUGUUUAUCAUUAAUGGCUUCGGAUAAAAAAUUAACUAUUCAUAAAAUGGGACGACUUCUAAUUCAUUACUACUACUUGUUACUCCAGUAUUAAAGAUAACUGAGGUUAAAAGAAGAGUAAUUUGACCAUAGAAAUUUAAAGAUGUUCCUAACAUGACAUCUCACUCUAAAUGCAACUUUCACAUAGUAGUGGAUAUGGAUCAAACGUUUUUUUCGUAGACUAAAAUCGAACUCCCUUAUAAAUACAUAUCGUUUUAUUUGGUAGUGAAGAGUAACAGAGAAAAGAGAAGUUGGUUAAAGAGAAAAAAAUGAGAAAUAGAGUCAACUUAGAUAUUGUUUGGUAUAAUAAAAAUAGAUGAAAGAUGGAAAUGAGAAAAUUUAACUUUUUUUGUGUUUAAAAAUAAUUUUUUCUAAUAUAAAACAUAUUCCGAAUUUAUGAUGGUAGGAUUGUAAAACUAAAAACUGUCGGUCCCAAACUGCCAAUAAAAUGCAAUUUGAAAUUAAAAAUGAUUAUUCGAAAUAUUUAACACUUUCUAGCAGUUUGCUCUGAUUACCGAGUCUCAAGCCGCCAUUAAAGUAUGAAAUUUGAGAAGAAUUUUUUUUUUUAUAAAAUAGGGACCAAUUCAUUUGUAUCCAAUUUAUUGAGAUAACGAAAUGGGGUGGAUCCCAUUACUUUUUCUCCUCUCUAACUCUCACCAAACACACAUGUUUCUUCCUUCCUCUCUAACUCUCUCUUUCUCAUCUCUCAGCCCAAAUUUCUCUCUAUCAAACAAAGUAAUAGAGAAUAAUUUAAUGAUUAACCCUAUCUUUUUUUUUUUUGGUACAUAGAUUAACCCUAUCUUUUAACACAAUAAAUCUGGAUUUUAAUUUUUUAAAAUAUUACAUCAAACCAACCAUUCUUAUUUAAACAAAAAAACAUUGUGAGCCGUGCACAUAACGCAACUCAAACAUAGUAUAACAUAGCCUAAGCAGAUCUAAAUUUUCCACCGUCACUUCCACUCACACACUCUGAAUCUUCCACGUUCCUUCUUCAACUCUUCGCAUCAAUGGCAAUUUGCUCUUCACCUUCAUCAUCUUCAUCUUCUUCGUCGUUUGAUUCUUCAAACAACACGAAGGCAUGGAUUGUCCAUGGAAUUCUGGCCGGGGGCGCAAUUGCAGCAGCUGCCGGCGCUCACGUUUACAUGACCCGCUUCCGCAAAUUCCGGAGCCGGGUCGUCGGCGUCAUACCCGCCCGGUUCGCCUCCUCUCGGUUCCAGGGCAAGCCAUUGGUUCAAAUCCUUGGCAAGCCCAUGAUUCAGGUGGACCAAAAAAUCUGUUUUUUUUUUACUUAAUUAUUUGUGGGGUGAUUUUUGUUUCCUAAUUUAGACCCAGUAUGAGUUUUUUCAGUUGAAUUGGUGAAUUUUUGUGAAUUCUCGAUUUUUAGUUCAGUAUUCAUAUUAGAUGGUGGCUAAUGAAUUGUUUAGCCAAAAAUCACCAAAAUUGUUCAGUAUUCAACAUUGCUGUUAAUUGCGGAUCGGGUCAUGGCAGAAAGUCAAAAUCCCGCCAUAAAUGACAAAUAAUGGAUAUCGGAAUAUGGCCGUCAAAUGGCGGGAUAUAGGCCAUGGCAGAAACCAAAAACCGCUAUAGCGGAUAUUUGAUAACACUAGUAUUCAAAGAAUUGUACCAUAAAUGGUUGACUUUUCUCUGGCAUGUAAACUUCAAACUAUAAAGGAGUGGUUUUCUUCUAGAAUGCAGAGUCAUUGAGUAUACUUAUCUUUUUAACCUCUCAACUCUUGCACUUACUCACUUGUAAAUGUUUUGCACAACUAACUGAAUUCUUUGUUUAUACUUUAUAUGCAUGUUAAGUAUGAGACCUUCAUUUUCGCUUGUUCUUAUUAUAUCAAGCUAUUUCAAGAACCUUUUAUUUAAUGGUGAGAUUAUGAUGUAUCUCACCUACUUUGGGCUGAAUGUGACAGAGAACAUGGGAAAGGGCAAAGCUGGCAGCUACAUUGGAUCAUGUUGGUAAGUCUAUCCACAUGAUCUUCCUCCAAUUUGGCAUGAAUAGCUAUCUUGGCAAUCUAAUUCAAACACAUCAUGAUAUGGUUUUGAUUGUGGUAUAGGCAUAUUUACAUGUAUUAUAUAUGCUUGUUGUUUGGUGCAUUAUAUUCAAAAACAAAACAUGCAGUUUCACAAUUUCGUGCAUCUGACUUACUUCUCUGAUGUUUGUUUGGUAAUUUUGUCCGGUUCUAGUUGUGGCAACUGAUGAUGAAAGGAUUGCUGACUGCUGUCGACAAUUCGGGGCUGAUGUCAUAAUGACAGCAGAAUCUUGCCGAAAUGGUAAGCAAAUAGGUGCAUAUUUUAGCCAUUCAAUGUCUUGUGUUCUCCCCCAUUGCAAUGUUUCAUACUCGUUUUUCUUAUUAGGUGCUGAGCGUUGCAAUGAAGCUGUACAGAAGCUUAGGAAAAAGUAUGAUAUUGUGGUGAACAUUCAAGGGGAUGAACCACUUAUUGAACCUGAAAUAAUAGAUGGUAUAGUCCAAGCUUUGCAGGUAAGUUUUUAUAAUAAAUUAUUUCCAUCCCACAAAAAAUGUGAAUAUUGUUCUAUUAGCUAAAAAUUAAUAGCUGUUAUGUCAUAUAUGCACUUCAAUUUUCAACAAACUAGUGAAAGUGUGAAACAAUUUCUGUUGUUCCAAAUCAUUUGUUUAAAAUAGCAUCAGGUGAUCUUGAUAAGCUUCACAUUAAAACCUUUUAAUGUUAUGGCCAAAAGAAAAAAUUUCUAUGUAUAUCUCAUUGUUGGAUUUUUACUCUUCUGGUCAUACUUUUAUCUGUCAUGUUCCUUACAGGCAGCUCCAGAUGCAGUUUUCAGCACUGCAGUCACGUCUUUAAAGCCCGAAGAUGCAAAUGAUCCAAACAGGGUGAAAUGCGUGGUCGACAAUCGUGGCUAUGCGAUCUAUUUUUCACGAGGGUUAAUCCCAUUCAACAAGUAACAUUUUCAAUCUUAAUUGUUCCUCCAUUCACAAAACAUAUUACUUGUGAAUUAGUUGUUAAAAUUUUCAGUGAUGAUUACAUUAUACAAAAUUGUAUAAAUCCCUGCAUACUUACUACAGGUCUGGGAAGGUCAAUCAACAAUUCCCUUAUUUGCUUCAUCUUGGGAUUCAGGUACUAAUAUUAAAUAAAUUGUUUUAAUUGGCACAAUAACAAUCAAUGCUCAUAGUUUAUUUGUCUGAUGCCAUUAUUGAUUCAUUGUGAGCUAAUAGUUUUCUGUCUAACCAUCUGCUAGAGCUAUGAUGCAAAGUUUCUAAAGAUUUACUCAGACCUUCAACCUACCCCAUUGCAACUCGAGGAGGACUUGGAGCAGCUUAAGGUCCUUGAGAACGGCUAUAAGAUGAAGGUACAUUUUUUAUACAAGUCCUUAUUAAUUUAUCUAUAGAUUUUCAAGCUUUUUUACUUGAUUGUUUUAAAUUGACCUCAAGUAAUCCCCUAGUCGUAAUAAUCAAUAUUAGCAUUCAAACCCAAGUAUAAGAUCUGGUUGCCAACUUGACAUUAGAUUUGAGUUUUCCGAAACCAUCUUAUCUCCAGGUUCUCUGAUAUUGAAAAAAUGCUCCGUAGCUUUUAGCCACCAUGAUAACAAAAUAAGUUGUCUGACUGUUGAACUGAAUACAUAGUAACAGCUCAAUUGGAUAUUAAGAUGUUCUAUUAUUACUGUCAUGUUCUUCUGUUCUCAAGUAGAAUAGUAAUUAAAGCUUCCAAAAACAUGGCUGAGGAGGUGUACAUGGAACUUGGAAGUGUUCCACGAAACAAUAGUGGAGCUACAGGUUUUCUUCAAUAGGAAUUUGCAUUAAAAUGUGGGAAAAGUAUCCCGCAGUUCCACUUAAGUUCUUUAUUAUUAAUUCCAUAAAAGGGACUGAGUUUUUAAUCAGCUGAUGUGCCAUGAUCAUUCAUGUCAAUGUUCUACACUCUUAUAAAAGAUGUUUGGAGUUACUUUUUAUUAUCUGUUCUAGGUAAUAAAAGUUGACCACGAUGCCCAUGGUGUUGACACUCCUGAAGAUGUUGAAAAGCUAGAAUCUCUAAUGCGCGAGAGGAACUUGUCUUGAACACUUUGUUGGAGCAAUGAAAGCACCUGUGUAUUAUUAACCAUUACCACAAGACAUCACAGAUAGAUAGGGUUUAUAUUCCCUUUUUUUUCUUUUUAAAUUACUGUUCUAGUUGCUUUCAACAUAGAAACUAGUUGUCAUGUAUUUUUUCAUUAAAAAAACACCAGAUUUAUUUGAUAUAAUAAGAGGAUCCAUAUUUGACACGAAUUUGAUUAUUUGAGCAUAACUGUAUGAUGUAUCGUAAGGUUUUAGUUGUGAUUGUGAUCUUAAUACUGUAAGUCUUGG
rnacentral:lncRNA from 1 species